GGUGGCCUAGUGGUUAGGGCGUCCGCCUCGGAUGCGGGAGGUCGCGAGCUGGAACCCGUCUAGUCAUACCA